UGGCCCGCUCGGCUCCUGUCUCCCCGUGACCCGGAGUCUCACACCCCCUGCCCGCCCCGCCCCCCGGGCCGCUAGAGGACCUGCCUGGGCGUUGUAGAGGUCGUGGGGGCACUGCAGGGGCCCUGCAGGGCCAUCGCUUCACCACGGGGGCCGACUUGCCUCUGGUCCCUCCCAGCAUUCCGAACUUGGUUGCGUCCCAGUCUGCGCCCAAACCACCUCAGGCCUGCGCGCUCACCCUCACCCCCACCCCACAGCUUUCCCAGCUGCCUGAUAAUGACAUCCUGAACCAGGCCAGGACCCCUGCUUUCUCAAGACUGCUUCUCAUCGAUGGACCUUGGAGACAUCACCCUCCACUACCCUACCAGUUGUAUGAGAAAUGGCCUCCCUGCCUCUGCCCUACUGGAUUGCCACCUCUCUCUGGCUUACCAUGCCUCAGAAACAUUCAGACCUGGCCCAAGUCAAAAUCAUCAGAGUGAAACAACCUAGCACAGGGUGAGCAUGCCUUGUGAGUUAGCUGCCUCCCCUUCCCUGACCUCUCUGGCCUCUGUGACCUUCUCCCUUCGGGCUCUUACCAAAACGACAGGAUGGCCUCCCACAGAGUGCUGGAUGGUGCCACCCUCUACUUGUGAGUGAGGUGUCUCUCCACCAACCUGGGCACAUGGUGACCCUCAGUAACCACUCCUUGGCUUGACUGUACACCACCUGCCUGCAGAGAUCUGUCUUGUGUGAGGUCAGUGUCUCUAUUAGGGCCAGAUAGGCCCUUGGAGGGCAUUUGCCUCCCACCCCACUUCUUCUAAUAUAUAGAUGGGAGAAAGGUGCCUAGACAAGGGCAGGGAGCCCCUCUCUGCGCAGGCCACAUUACCUUUGAAGAAGACAAAUCUUCCAUCGGCCCUUUCGUAGGCUGCAUCUAUGCGGGCGGGCAGGCCCUUCCAGAACUGCUCUAUCUGCAUGGGGUAGCCCUCCUGCACCCGGUUGUUGCGCAGGCGCCAGAACCAGCGAUCCUGGAUUGGGGCAGAGAGGUGAAAGGAGAGCGCCGGGAGUAUGGUAGGCCCUGCCUCUGUACCCAGUGAUCUCAGCCCUGGGACUCUGGCCCCAACAACCCAACCUUUCCCUUAACCCAGCCUUGCAAUCCUCCUACAAGGUCAGUCUACUGCUUCUUUCAAAGCCCUAUGAAGAAGAUAGGAGUAACUCUUAACUCCAUUUCUGUAAGCCUCUGAUGGCUCUAGUUGCAGAGGGGCAGAGAGAGAGAGAGAGAGAGAGAGAGAGAGAGAGAGAGAGAGAGAGAGAGACAGAGAGAGAGAGAGAGAGACAGAGAGAGAGAGAGAGAGAGAGAGAGAGAGAAGA